GGGCGCGUAGCUCAGUUGGUUAGAGUGCGUCGUUGACAUCGACGAGGUCCCCAGUUCGAGUCUGGGCGCGCCCACCA
rnacentral:tRNA from 2 species